rnacentral:rRNA from 1 species
GACGAACCGAGCGAACGUUAUUCGGAAUCACUGGGCUUAAAGGGCGCGUAGGCGGGCUGCCAAGUCAAGGGUGAAAGCCCCCGGCUCAACCGGGGAAGUGCCUCUGAUACUGGCGGCCUCGAGGGAGGUAGGGGCGUGCGGAACUUCCGGUGGAGCGGUGAAAUGCGUAGAUAUCGGAAGGAACACCGGUGGCGAAAGCGGCGCGCUGGACCUCUACUGACGCUGAGGCGCGAAAGCCAGGGGAGCGAACGGG